GGAUGUGAGGGCCAUCUGGCUGCAACACCUGUCACCCCAUUGAUUCCACUGAUCUGGCUGGCUAGGCCAGUGUCCCCUUCCUCCCUCACUGCUCCACAUGCGUCCCUCCUGAACCUGUGUGCUGAGUCAAAGAGGACAACCAUCCCUCAGUCAAGGGCAUACGAGUAGCUGCACCCCGCUGCUGGAACCUCCAGACAAGCUCUCAAGUUCUCAGAUACCUUUGCAGCUAGAAAGACUAAUUCCAAAAGAAAGGACAUUUUUCUGUCUCUACAGAAAAGCCAAAGCUGUUCAAAAAUUUUUUUU
rnacentral:snRNA from 1 species